UAUAAUGGGACAUCACAGUUUAGGAGUCAUUUCAAAAAGGGGAAGCCAAUCAAAAAUAAUGGCACCUUAUUGUUUCUCUUUUGACACACAUUUCUGCCCUCCCUCCCUCUCUCCACUGCUGCUUUCUCUGCUUGUGCCACCAGGUCUCAUUCACGUCUAUCACACGGUCAAAUUAAAUAAAAACCCAGCCACGCAGGCCAUUGGCAGGGGAGUAGGUAUGAGAGGAAACAUCACAAAGGUAAGGAAGAGGAAGGAAGGCCUGAGGAGGAUACAGGGCAAAAGCAGAGGAAAUUUAAAGAAGUAAGGAAGGAAGGAAGGAAGGCAAAGAGAGAGAAAAAAGAGACAGAGUUGGCACUGUUGCUCGUCUUCAGGUUUGCCGUUGGUGGUGCAGGAAACUGACUGAGGAUGUGAUGCAAUUGGAAUAUCUGUCACUGAUGAGAUAUUAAGGCUUCUGGUGAAAAAAAAUAUUGACAUCAAAGAUCAAGGAAUUCACAACAAGUCUAUCCAAUUGUGUACUGAGAUUUUCAUCUACUGUCUGUUGGCCACGCUCCUUCAAUGCUGUGUCUGAAAUGAUAUUCAGUUGGCUAUGGGGGCUACAGAGAGUUCAGGAGUCUGACAGCUCCAGGGUAGAAGCUGUUCCUCAGUCUCGUAGUCCUGCUCUUGAUGCUCCAUAGCCUCCUGCCUGAGGGGAGGGGGGUGAACAGUGUGUGUGCUGGGUGAGUGGGAUCUCUCAUGAUGCAGGUGGCCCAUUUCCAGCACGUCUCACCCUCCUGAGGAAGUAGAGGCGCUGGUGUGCCUUCCGGACCAGGCUGGAAGUGUUGCUGCUCCAGAGGUUGUUUACCCUGCACCAACCCUCCAGGUGUUCCACUUCCUGCCUGUAGCUGGACUCAUCGUUGUUGCUGAUGCGUCCAACCACUGCUGUGUCAUCAGCAAACUUCACAAUGUGACAGCUCGGAUGUUUAGGUGAGCAGUCAUGAGUGAGCAGGGUGAAUAGAAGAGGGCUCAGCACGCAGCCCUGGGGGGAGCCAGUGCUGAGGGUGAUGGAGGUUGAGGAGAUGUCGUGGAUCCUCACUGACUGUGGCCUGUCUGUCAGGAAGUCCAGGACCCAGUUGCAGAGGGCUUUGCAGUGCAAGCCUGGGUGUUUGUUUCAACAUUGGGUGAUUUGCAAACUGCAGGAUGCUCAUGCAUUACAGGAACAGCUUGAAGCCAUGCAGCUGUCCACCAUAUAUUUUGCCACUGGAAAUAACUACUGCUGCUUCCACUUCUGUUCCUGAAGCUCCACCCAUAAUCAUUUCUCCAGUAGUGCCUCCAGUAAUCAGAUCUGGACAUCUCUGCUUCAUAUGCACGUUGGGACACCUGGACACAAUGUGCCCUGCAUUGAUCUAAAGUGGACAGUGAGACUCGAAUGGAGCAACUGAUGUGACACUGAAUUAUCUGAGCUCUGGACAUGGACAUAGACAAAGUAACGACUAAACCUUCAUAGUUUCUGUUAUUCUGGCCCAAAUAACGGAAUGCUGAUAUUUCCACCAUGACUGCAGGUUCAACUGCAAACACAUCAAAGAACCAGCCACUCUGUUUUGUCCUGCUGUCUUUACAUGACUGUGUAGGGUGGGUGAAAAUAUCGAUUUGGUGAUAAAUCAUCUUCCUUCCUUCCUUGUGCAAUAUGAUGAAUGAUAUGUCAUUAAUACAUUCAGCAACAAGUCGGCCCAGCACAAAUCGUGUAAACAAAGAAAAAUCUUUUUUAUUUAUUUUUUACAGAAUAUGCAAGUUGAAAUUUCAAACUUUAAAUCACAGUAUUGGGGGUCUUAAAAUCAUAAACUUAUUUGAAUUUGUCACUGACAGCUAGACCAGGAGGACAUCUUCUUUGUGUUAUUGUCAUUGCUGGAAAGACAAGAAACUUCCAUAAUCUGUAAAUAACUCAAAAUGGCCCUCUGGAGACUUGUUGCUGUUUUUUCCAUUACUGGGCACAAAUGAAUACCCUCUAGUAAACAGUCCCUGUGAGUUUCACUUGCCAGGCAUUGUUAUACUUCAUGUCUUGUGGUGGCACUGCUCAGAAAAAUAAGGGAAACAUGGGCGGAAGUUACCUGGCCAAAGAAGAGGGAGUUCAAAGUGGGAUAAUGGCG